AGCAGCCGCGGUAAUUCCAGCUCCAAUAGCGUAUAUUAAAGUUGUUGCAGUUAAAAAGCUCGUAGUUGAAUUUCGGGGUUAGUAGAUUGGUCAUGCCUCUGGUAUGCACUGGUCUUACUGAUUCCUCCUUCCUGAUGAACCGUAAUGCCAUUAAUUGGUGUUGCGGGGAAACUGGACUGUUACUUUGAAAAAUUAGAGUGUUUAAAGCAGGCUAACGCUUGAAUACAUUAGCAUGGAAUAAUGGAAUAGGACGUUCGAUCUUAUUUUGUUGGUUUCUAGGAUUGACGUAAUGAUUAAUAGGGAUAGUUGGGGGCAUUAGUAUUCAAUUGUCAGAGGUGAAAUUCUUGGAUUUAUUGAAGACUAACUACUGCGAAAGCAUUUGCCAAGGAUGUUUUCAUUAAUCAAGAACGAAAGUUAGGGGAUCGAAGACGAUCAGAUACCGUCGUAGUCUUAACCAUAAACUAUGCCGACUAGGGAUCGGAUGAUGUUAAUUUUUUAAUGUACUCAUUCGGCGCCUUAA
rnacentral:rRNA from 1 species